UAGCUGACGAAGUGAUCGAGUCGGGGC
rnacentral:piRNA from 1 species